rnacentral:rRNA from 1 species
UACGUAGGUGGCAAGCGUUGUCCGGAUUUACUGGGCGUAAAGGGCUUGUAGGCGGUUUGUUAAGUCUGGUGUGAAAUCUCCCGGCUCAACCGGGAGGGGUCAUCGGAUACUGGCAGACUUGAGACGGGUAGAGGAAAGCAGAAUUCCCGGUGUAGCGGUGAAAUGCGUAGAUAUCGGGAGGAAUACCAGUGGCGAAGGCGGCUUCCUGGCCUGUUCUUGACGCUGAGGCGCGAAAGCUAGGGGAGCAAACGGG